CAGGACUCAUUUUUCUGCUGGGACUUGUGUUUUGUCUGGAACAAAGGAUUUGGGCGCAACAUGGAUUAUUACCCCAGCCUUCCAUCUGGGCAUUGCCAGGGGCUGUGAUUCCCCAGGACAGUUCUGUGACCAUCUACUGCAAGGGGCC